GAUUAUUUUAAAUUAAUUGUUUUUAUUUUCAAUAUUUUUAACAGAUUCAAUUUUAGAAAAGGGUUUUGAUAAUGUACCAGCUAAACUUAAUAGAUCUUCAGUAAUUGUACUACCCUCGGCAGAUAAGAAUACAUAUGUAGCUGAUUUUUCAAAAUUUCUUCAUCCAACUGAUCCAACCCUUGUUACUAAAAAACCAAACGCCAUAUCUUCGUUAUUUACUAAAAAAAAAAAGGAUACAUCAGUACCAGUUAACAAUAACUUCAGUCCACCAAAAUUAUCUUAUUUGUAUGACUUAUAUGAAUAUCCAAUUAAUUGGUGUGCGGUUAAAA